rnacentral:misc_RNA from 1 species
AGACCAAGCCAGCCCGGCCCGA